GUGGGGAAUCUUCCGCAAUGGACGAAAGUCUGACGGAGCAACGCCGCGUGAGUGAUGACGGCCUUCGGGUUGUAAAGCUCUGUGAUCGGGGACGAAUGGCUGGUAUGCUAAUACCAUAUCAGAGUGACGGUACCCGAAUAGCAAGCCACGGCUAACUACGUGCCAGCAGCCGCGGUAAUACGUAGGUGGCAAGCGUUGUCCGGAAUUAUUGGGCGUAAAGCGCGCGCAGGCGGCGUCUUAAGUCCAUCUUAAAAGUGCGGGGCUUAACCCCGUGAUGGGAUGGAAACUGGGAGGCUGGAGUAUCGGAGAGGAAAGUGGAAUUCCUAGUGUAGCGGUGAAAUGCGUAGAGAUUAGGAAGAACACCAGUGGCGAAGGCGACUUUCUGGACGAUGUCUGACGCUGAGGCGCGAAAGCUAGGGGAGCGAACGGGAUUAGAUACCCGGGUAGUCC
rnacentral:rRNA from 1 species